UCCCUGGUUGUCCAGUGAUUAAGACUCUGUGCUCUCAAUGCAGUGGGUACAGGUUUGAUCCCUGGUCAGGGAA
rnacentral:tRNA from 1 species